UUUUGGGUAGCUUAAAUAGAGCAUAGCGUUGAAGGUGCUAAGGUGAUUGUUUUUAAUCCCCAGAAG
rnacentral:tRNA from 1 species